GGGUACGGGUAUUUUUUCAAACUGCGGGUAUGGGGAUGGGUACUAUAGUACCCUACCCAUACCCCCCAUUGUCAUCCCUACAUUUGAGAGUACUUCAGUCACCUGGUUCUAGUCCUUUCACAGCUAGCUUUUAAGGAAAUCCAAAUUGACAGUAUCUGCUGUAGUAUAGGGGUGGGCAAAGUUUGGUUUAAAACCAAAACUGCAUGCGAAAGUUUGGCAUAACAGUGUAGUAUAACACUUAUUUGUGUCUAUUUCAUAUUUUUUUAAACUUAUGCCUCUAAGCUUUAAAUUUCUGUGAGUAUAACACUUAUGUUUGCUGCAGACUGUUUUUACUCACUUUCUUUGUAUCAACAUGUGAUUUUACAUACAUCAGAACCUAUUCAUAUUAUCCCGAAGAUAAGUUUUAGUAUCAACUCACACAUUAAGAUUGUUUUGAGAUGGUAUCAUACUGUGGGUCAAUUAUCCUUAUGUCCUAUGUUGGGCAAUUCUGCUGUAUUCAGUGUUUGUUUAAAUGAAAAGACAAAGAUUGUUCUUUUUUAUCUGGAUUCAAAGAGUCAGUGGCGAAACUCACACACAGUAAGUGUUGAGAAGUGGAGGUUGCAGUUUUGAACCUGCACCCUAGCAUAUCAAAUGUCUGUGUAGUGUUUUCCAUUUAAGCUGUAGUUACAAAACAACAGAUAUUGUACUUUACCUUAACCAAGUAGGUUUCUGGUAUAAUAAUAUGCUUUAGAUGGACUGAUUAACUUUCAGCAAAUAGGCAAAUUAUGAUUUUCAAUGAUCGGAGUCUGGUGGAAAUUUCCACCGUUCAACAUUCAAUUUCAUCUUGAUGAUUUUGACCGUGUGAAGUAGAAAUAAAUAACCGACUGAGAUUCCAUUGUAGAAAAUUUUCGGUACGGGGGAUCCGUUUCUCAAAUAGGUAGGUGUUCAAUGUUUCUAUCUUGUCUCGAUCAUUGAUUUGUUUUGAAGUUACUUUUACAAGAAUGUAUUGUACUUAUAAAUUAUAAUUCUAAUGUCUGCAAAAACAGCUGUUCUUUUGUGUACUAGGAAGAAUACGUGCAACAAUCCUUUUUCCAUUUUUCAGUUCAUGUAAAUUAUUUUUCCUUUAAUAUGAUGAUGCCUAACAUACUUCUAUUGUGAGUUCUAAAGUUGUUUUUCUCUCAAGUAUUGGACAGAUAGUACCUUAAGUUUGAGGUUUGGAAUCUGUCAUAGGCUCACAUGAUAACUAAACUUACAAAAGCUAUUGUACUUUGUGUUUUCAUACUUAGCAAUGUUGGAUUCUCCACAACUUUAAUCCUUUAAUGCUGGUUUUGUUUUGGAAAUUUCAUAUUAUUUUCUAAGCGAUGAGUUUGUAUCACUAAUUUUCGUGAUUAAUUUUGAAGCAUGAGUACUACUAAAAUAAUGAAGUACAUGUACUAGGUACGUUACUGCUAUACGGUACAUGUUCAUACCAUUAUGCACUCAUUUUUAAAUGUGCUAGUGGUAAAACAUAGGAGAAAGUAUUUUGAUUUUUUUAUUGCA